rnacentral:rRNA from 1 species
UACAGAGGUGGCAAGCGUUGUUCGGAAUUACUGGGCGUAAAGGGCUCGUAGGUGGCCAACUAAGUCAUACGUGAAAUCCCUCAGCUUAACUGGGGAACUGCGUCUGAUACUGGAUGGCUUGAGUUUGGGAGAGGGAUGCGGAAUUCCAGGUGUAGCGGUGAAAUGCGUAGAUAUCGGGAGGAACACCAGUGGCGAAGGCGGCUUCCUGGCCUGUUCUUGACGCUGAGGCGCGAAAGCUAGGGGAGCAAACGGG